rnacentral:misc_RNA from 1 species
UAAUUGCAUGAAUAUUAUAUAUAUUUAUUAAAAUGUCUUUGUUAAAGCUUAAUAUCUGUAUGAUUAAUGCAAUUUUCAGCACCAUAUUUUGCUUUACAACAACACAAACAGUUAUAAAUGUAUAUUUAAUAUAUAUUUCUAAUUUUUGUACAGUAUGUGCCAAGCAAUAUUGAUAUCUAUUCCUAUUGCUUAAAUAGCUUUAUUUUUUAUUUAUGCAUGGCUAAAAAGAAGUUAUUAUUAAAUUUUGUUUGACUACAAAGAAUAAGAUUUCAGGUAUUUGGCAGACUUAUCCUUUCCCACUAAUAUUUGUCUUUGCUAACAUUCUAGAAAGUUUUAUGCCAGAGCAGCAGACCGCUGCAGGCAAGACGACAACUGAAGAUUCUGUACUUCCCUCCCCUUCCAAAGAUUCUCCUAUCCAAGCAAAAACUGUUGGUCUUGAUGAAUCUUCUCAUUCUGUAUUACUUCCAUCCUUUGGCAUGGAUGACGAAAAAUCUUCCUCAAAUGAAAUCAAAGCAAAAAUUACUUCAGAACAGGUUCAUGAUUCAGAAUUUAUUUCAAAAUCUUCUAGUGAGUCUGUGUUCAAAGACUCAGCUCAGAAAGAUGAAUUACAUAUAGAUGAUUCUAAGUUAGCAGAUGAAGAUGAUGAUGAUGAUAUUAAUUUGUUCAAGGAUAAAGAUGAAUAUGAAAUGACUGUUAAUUUAUCUGUAAAAGUUCAGCAGCAAAUAAAAUCACAAAUAUUGAAUGAAGAAUUAGAUCAAUCUAUUGAAGAAAAUCCACCUGAAGAAAAAGUAUUAGGUAUUAGUAAUAUUCCAGAUUUUGAUCAUGAAGAAAAAGUAGCACAGCAAAUAAGAACAACAAUAUUAUCACAGGAAUUAGAAGCAGAUAUUGAAAGUGCUUCUCCAGAACAGAAAGAAUUUCCUGUUCACAGUGCUGCAGUUGAAAGUGGAUUUAAUAUUGAAACUUUAAAAACAUCUGACUAUCUAUUACAAAAUGCUCUUCAACAAGAAACAGAACAAAUUACAUGGGAAACACCUAUUCAAGAAGAAACUGAAACUGUAUUGCAUGAGGAAGUUAAAGAAAUUCCAAGAGAAAAACAAUUGAUUGUAGAACAUGAUGAGGAAGUUAUAUCUGAAGGAGAUGAUGCUAUGAAGGAUACACAGAACAGCGAUUCUAUUUGUCCUACUUCAGAGAGUUCUAUUUCAGAAAAAGAUAAAUUUAAACCCUCAUCAUUAGAACAAGUAUCAUCAGAAAUAUCUGAUGAAGAUCUUGUUGAAAGAGAUCAUUCAUCUUCAGAACUAGAAACUAAACCAAUAAAUAUUUUAAAAGAAGAAAUGGAUUUAAUGAAAAAAGAACUUUUGGAAGAAAAAACUAAAAAGGAAUUAACAUCAGAAGAUUUAUAUAAAAGUUCAGAAACUCAGCUUCAAGAUGAAACACCUACAGAUAAAAAAAGUGAUAUUUUAGAAUCUGAUCAAAUGAAAACAGAACAUGAAAGUCAUACUGAUUCAUACACAUCAGAAAGUUCUGAUUAUACACACAGAGAAACUGAGGUAAAUAGUUCUGGAGCAAUAUCUGAAGAUUCACAUUAUAAAGAUAGGCAAGAUUCUUCAGAAAUAUCAGAUAGGGAAAGUAGUCAACCUCUCUUUGUUACUGCUGAAACCUUAUAUACAACUGAUGGCAGGGAAGAUAAAAGAAGUGAUUCAGAACCUUCAGAUGGAGUCAAGGAUCCUAGUAAUAUUGUUUUAAGACAAAAAUCAGCAUCUAAAAAAGAUAAACAAGGAGGACAAGAGAUGGAAUCAUGGUCUAGUUCUGGUGAAACUGAAAGUCAUUAUUAUUCUUUUGAAACUUCAGAAAGUGGGAAAACAUCUAGAGACACUCCUGCUAUUAGUAGGCCAUGUUCUUCUGAAUUUGAAGUUACAAUUGUAAGUGGUCAGCCAUCUUCUGAAUAUGAAACAUGUGUCACAUCCCAGGAAACUUCCAUUGGAGUAUCUGAAUCUUAUACAACUGCAGUAACAUCCCAAGAAACAUCUUAUUCUACUGCUUGCUCAUCUCUCAGUCAUAGUUCAAGAGAAUCAGCAUAUUCAGUUGAUUCUGAAAGUUCUGGACACUUAGCAAGUUUGGAAUUAUCUUCAGAAACCAGUGAAACACUCGUUCCUUCUGCACAAGAAAUAGAAAUGGAUCUAGUGCAAGAAAUAGAUACACCAGUUUUAGAAGAAGAAAUUGCUGCCCAGGCUGGAUUUAAAGAACCAUAUGAUUCAGAAAUUCCGGAAUGCAUAAUCAGGGAAGGAGUGGAAGUUCCUUUUCUCAAAGAUUGGUCUUUACAAGCAAAUGAAAGUGAUAUAUCUUCAGCAAAAGAAUGGAUUUGGCCUUGUGAAAGAGACAUACAGAUGGUCAUGAGUCCUUUUGAAAUAAUUACAAAUGAUGAUUUAGCAGAAUGUUUACAGGAUCAAGCUGCUCAAGAGCCUUUAUCUGAUUCUGAUAAAGGUUUAUAUGAUGUACAAUCAAAAGAAACAAUUCAAAUAGAUUCGUUAGAAACUAAAUCUGAAAAAAGCGUGGAAGAAGAAAAACUUAUUUCAGAGAUGCAGAAUGAUAAAGCAGAAAGUGAAAAAUAUUUAUUAUGCUCUGAGAGCUCAGAAUUGCCUUCUCAGUCUAUUGAAGCAAUAGAUAAACUGGAAGUUGGAACAGCACUUAGUGAUGAUGUUGCUGAGCAACUUAGUCAUGAUGAACUUUCUAUAUCAGAAAGUUCUGCCACUCAGAGUGAGCAGACUUGGCAGACUUCUAGUAUAGAAACUGCUAUCCAUAUUUCCCAACAGAUGUCCUCCUGUUUUAAGCCUUAUACUGAAACUCCCCCAGUAACUAGAGUAGAUAGCACUGUUUCCGAUGUCACAUUAGAUCUCUCAGGUUCUCCCAUACAUAGUGCCAUUGUUCAAGAUAAUUUACAAUCUGCUCAAGAACCUUCAAUAUAUCAUCAAUUAAAUGGUCCAGUUGAAGUUGAAUACAUUCCUGAAUAUGAUGCUCCUUUUGAUGACAGUAGAGAAAAUAUUUCGGUUCAGAAUGUCCAAGAAACUCAAAUUCAAAAUUAUGAUGCUGAAGGACAGUAUAUGCAAAUAAGUGAUGAUCAAGCAGACUUUAAUUCUGAGAGAUGUUUAUUUCUUGAUUCUGAAGAAAUGGUAACUUCAUCUCAACCUCCAGUUGAAUUUUCUGAACAAUGGAUAUCUGAUGGAGAAGUUCAAGCUCAGGCCAGAGAAGAUAGUUUAUCAUUACUCACAGAAGAUUUAUGGCAACAACAUGUUCAUAGGCAUGAAUCAGAAAUUGAGAAAACACCAGAUAUACAACACGAUGAUAUAGGUGAAACAAAUUGUUUACCAGAAAGUGAACAGAAUGUUCUACAUAGCCAAGGUUUUGUUCAUAUAAAUUCUGAAAUGGUUAAAGAUUAUGAAAUAGAAAAACCAAAGUUAGAAAGUAGAGACUCGUUUGAUAUGACUGAUAAAGCAGAAGCUAUAGAUACCUCCCCUGAAGAUGAAAGAUAUGAUAAUCUUCUCCAUGAUUUAGAUGAACAAAUUUGUGAUGAUGAUUCUAUAAAAGAUAAAACAUCUGAAUCAUUUCAGAAAUUAAGUACGGAUUCUAUUCAGGAUCAAAGAGAGCCUGCAGAUAAAAAUGGCUUAUUGGUUACUAAAGAAACAUUAUAUGAAUCUCAGAAUACAUACUUAUAUAAUAUGGGGUUUGAGAAAGAACUUCCUGAAGAAGUUUUAGAUGUGGCUGAGGAUCAGUUUACUGAAGAGAAAGAUAAAUUGCAGGAUUCUUAUCAAGAAACUGAAUUUGUUGAUGGUGUAUAUGAAAGAGGUCAAGAAUAUGAUGAUGUCAGUCUUGGUUAUGGUGAAUUAUAUACACAUCAAGAAGAAGAUGAAGAAACUGAAGAUGCAGAAAGAGAUGAAAGGCAUUAUAGUCCAGCUGCUGUAUCAAUAGACGAAAGCAAACGAAGUACACCCAGUUAUGAUACUUUAGGUGUUCGUAAAUUUUUUGGUAGAAGUGGAGAGCAUGAUGAUAUGUCUGUGUCAUCAUUACAAGAAUUUGAAAGAUUAGAAGCAGAAAUAGCAAUGGGAUCAAGAAUGAGCCAAGGAUCUGGUGAUUCAAAUGAAAGACAUAGUGUAACAAAAAGUGGAGAACAUGAUGAUGUAUCAAUGAAUUCUUUAAUAGAAUUUGAAAAAUUGGAAACAGAAUGCAUUGAAGUUGAACAUAGUGAAUCAGUACCAGUGGUUGAAAAAUUAUCUGAAAUUGAAGAAGGGCAUGAAAGCUUAUCAGAAGCAAGUCAAGGAACUCUGUCUGAUCAUGCUGCUGAGCAUGAAGAAUCAGAAGAUUCAGAUGAUUAUGAUAAACGAAUGUGUGAAAUUGAUGAAAUUAUUCGGCAAGCUCAAUCUAAUGUUGAAAAAUUUGAUGAUAGUUCAGCUGUACUAAGUUCAGAAAAGUCUCCUGCUAAGCAUGUUCAUACAGUUUCUAGUGAUAGUACAGAGAGUAGUCUUGUUGAUAAAUCACCAUCUCCAAAAAAAUAUCAGGGUUCCUUGAAAGAGACAGAAAGAACACAAAUAUUGCUGGAUACUCAAUUACCAAUUUCACUUGAACGAGAACAAGCUGAACAUGAAUUGGAAAGUCCAGCAACACUUGCCCGACAUAUUAUUAUCGGGAGAACAAUAAGUGGCCAUUCUGUUGAAAGUGGAGAAUCUCUUCCAAGGAGUUCUACAUCAACAGUCACUCAAUAUGAUACAGAGUCUUUAAAAGAUAGAGAAAUAGAUGUGGAAGAGAUUGAUAUUGGCUGUGAAGACAAAAAAAUUUCACCAUCUGAAGAAGAAAAAUAUUUUAUUCAAGAAACUGAUCAAGAUAGUUUUCAAACUGAAUGGAAUCUUCAUGAUUUAGCUGAACAUGGAUCAGAUCAAAUCAAACAAACCUGUGAUACUGAAUUUCAUUCCAUCCCAAAUAUAGAUCAUUUGAAACAGUUACAACCAGUAGAAUUUAGAUUACAAGAUGAUAUUACUAAAGAAACUUUUGAUAUUCAAUGGCAAGAAGAAGAAUCUCAUUUAAGUACAGAAAAUUUGACUGGUGAAGGGGAAAGCAUAAAAGCAGAAACAACAGGUUCAGGUCAUUCUAGUUCAAAUGGAAGAGAUGGAGAACAUGAUAUGAGUGGAAAAGGAGAUUGCAUGGUUUCUAGCACUGACUCAAUUGACCCGAGCAGUUCUACUGCAACUCAUGCAACUUAUCAGUUUGAAACUGAUUCAGUUAUGUCAUCAAGUAUUAACAGUGCUCAAGCAUCUGGAGAAGAAUUUACUAUGAUAUCAAGUACAGACACUUUAGAAGCGGAAACGAAAGUAACUCAUGUAAAUGAACUUGCUUUUGAAGAAAUACCUGAAGCACCACAUGCUGAAGAAGAAAUAUUAUUAGGAGGUGAUAAAACUGAAUCAAUGUCAGUUGAACAAUCUGUAACAAUACAGAUAGGAACUGAAGAAUAUGAAUCUUUACCUCAGGAAGUAAAAGAUAAAGUAAAUAAAAUGUUAGCUGCUUCAGAAGUUGAUCCUGAAAUAUCAGAAUUUCCUGCCAGUGAUACAUCUUUUUGUGAAAGUGGAGUAGUUACAAUUAGAAAAAUUGUUAAAACUCAAAUAACUUCUGAACAGCAAGUAGAAAAAACAGAAUUUCCAAUACAAAAAGAUAUUACUCUUGAUUCAACUUUUCAGUCAGAAAUAAAGGAAAAGGAAGGGGAGGAAAAACAGCCUAUUCCAUCGCACUCUUCUAUUUCCUCAGAAAUGUUCCAUGAUGAUCUUCAGACAUUUAACAAGAAUACUUCCUCCAUGCCAGAGGGUACAGAUUCUUCCCUGAAUUAUCCUUGUUCUCCUGUUACCUCUGCUGUUCCUCAGACUGUUAGUUCUGACUAUGACAUAGAUGAACCAUCAACUUUACAUAAGGAUACUGAUGAAAGUACUGCUGUCUCUCAUGGGAUUGGUCCAGCAACAGGUAGCUAACAGACAAUGGAAAUGUUAUAGAAACUGAAGAUAGUAAUGAGGAUGGACUAAGUGAUGGAAAUGAGUGCACAGUUAAAACUAGAAUAGUUACCAAAACAACAA